rnacentral:rRNA from 1 species
GACGAAGGAUGCAAGCGUUAUCCGGAUUCAUUGGGUUUAAAGGGAGCGUAGGCGGUUUAGUAAGUCAGUGGUGAAAGCCGGUCGCUUAACGAUCGAACUGCCAUUGAUACUGCUGAACUUGAGUACAGAUGCUGUGGGCGGAAUAUGACAUGUAGUGGUGAAAUACUUAGAGAUGUCAUAGAACACCGAUUGCGAAGGCAGCUCACAAAACUGUAACUGACGCUGAGGCUCGAAAGUGUGGGGAUCAAACAGGAUUAGAUACCCUGGUAGUCCACACUGUAAACGAUGAUUACUCGCUGUUGGGUAGCAAUACUCAGUGGCUAAGCGAAAGCGAUAAGUAAUCCACCUGGGGAGUACGCCGGCAACGGUGAA